GUGGGGAAUAUUGGACAAUGGGCGAAAGCCUGAUCCAGCCAUGCCGCGUGUGUGAAGAAGGUCUUCGGAUUGUAAAGCACUUUAAGUUGGGAGGAAGGGCAGUAAGUUAAUACCUUGCUGUUUUGACGUUACCGACAGAAUAAGCACCGGCUAACUUCGUGCCAGCAGCCGCGGUAAUACGAAGGGUGCAAGCGGUAAUCGGAAUUACUGGGCGUAAAGCGCGCGUAGGUGGUGUUGGAAGUUGGAGGUGAAAUCCCCGGGCUCAACCUGGGAACUGCCUCCAAAACUGCAUGACUAGAGUACGGUAGAGGGUAGUGGAAUUUCCUGUGUAGCGGUGAAAUGCGUAGAUAUAGGAAGGAACACCAGUGGCGAAGGCGACUACCUGGACUGAUACUGACACUGAGGUGCGAAAGCGUGGGGAGCAAACAGGAUUAGAUACCCCGGUAGUCC
rnacentral:rRNA from 1 species